rnacentral:rRNA from 1 species
GGAGGCACUGCCUGCCCAGUGACUAAACGUUAAACGGCCGCGGUAUUCUGACCGUGCAAAGGUAGCAUAAUCAUUUGUUCUCUAAAUAAGGACUUGUAUGAACGGCCACACGAGGGUUUUACUGUCUCUUACUUCCAAUCAGUGAAAUUGACCUCCCCGUGAAGAGGCGGGAAUGAAUUAACAAGACGAGAAGACCCUAUGGAGCUUUAACUAACUAGUCCAAAAGAAAUAAAUUUAACCACCAAGGGAUAACAACAUCCUUUAUGGACUAGCAGUUUUGGUUGGGGUGACCUCGGAGAACAAGAGAUCCUCCGAGCGAUUUUAAAGACUAGACUUACAAGUCAAAUCAAAUUAUCGCUUAUUGAUCCAAAAAACUUGAUCAACGGAACAAGUUACCCUAGGGAUAACAGCGCAAUCCUAUUCAAGAGUCCAUAUCGACAAUAGGGUUUACGACCUCGAUGUUGGAUCAGGACAUCCUGAUGGUGCAACCGCUAUCAAAGGUUCGUUUGUUCAACGAUUAAAGUCCUA